rnacentral:lncRNA from 1 species
GUUGCAAUCGAAUGUUGGGCUCUAAUUUUUGCCAUGGUGAAUAUUGUCUCUCUUUUCCCUUCCUGGCGCGUCAAUCUGUUGCAGCCAACUCUCCGUCACCUGUCGUCGGGAACGAACAUCUGCAAGACAACAUCCGUACUGAUCGGAUUUGUGUCCGACGGGGACCCUCCGAUGCUUAAGUUAGAGAAAAAAGUUGGUGAACAGUAGAUGUCAAUAUUCAGAGUA